GCUGAGUGGGGAAGCUGCGGUCCACUAACCAGAAGCUGCUGCCCGCCCAUCAAAGGCACCUUGAGCACACGCAGCGGAGCCGCUCACAAAGUUCCUGCCGCUGCAGCCCAGUAUUGGUUUCUAAAUAAAAGUUUCCUGUGCUGGAAUAUAAUUAGUCCAAUUUUCCCUCUGGAAUCACUCCCAUCACGAGAAUAAACUUCAGUGGUUUAUACCCUGGACAGGCACAUGGCUGCAGCACUGGGAGGGAAAUCCUGUCCUUGUCACUGUGAGGACACACAGAUAACGAGUCCGUUACGGGAUGGCAUUUCCUAUUUUACUGCUGGGUGACUGCAUGUCACCAUAUUACUGUUCAUGAAAUGCUGGUCACCACGGUAGAAACAGGGUUUUAAUGGUGGAAAAUGUAAGUAAAAGGCUUCUUAAAGGCAAAGGUUCUAAGCUUUGAAAUUUAUUAUGCAUAAAAAUCAGAAUAAGACAACAUUAUACAUUUUCUCCUCAUGGAAUUAUGGUCUUAAUUAUGAGAAGUCCCUUACCAUUCGUUUUCUCAUUUCUAAUACUAAGGAUGACUGCAUAAUCUACAAACCCAGCAUCACCGUACCAGGACUAAAUAAUACAGCCAAAAGAUAGAGCUAUUCAGUCAUGGUUAGAGUGGUGCUUUAUUUUGGUGGCCAAACUGGAAGCAUUGACUGGAUAAGAGUUAUUAUCGUGCCGCCUGGUUUUCUUGCUGCUCUGCAAUCGACAAAGCAUCAUUUAUCAUCCUUUGCAUCCCAAUUUUUCUUUGCAUGUUUUCCAGCUCAUCAUAACAUAAUUAUGUUCCUGUUUCUUCCAGCCAGGGGCUGCUACUUUCUUUUCCUAAGACAACAGCUGCACUGCACAACCUUGAUGAAUCCCCAUAAGGGUAAAAUGUGUCUGUGGUGCUUGUUUCUGCCUUGGCAACCCAACUGUUCAAGCUCUUUUUUCCAUGACAAAUGCUGCUCUAAAAUGCACCCAACCCCGGUGCUUUCACAGCACUUCUCAAAACGAGGGUUUACGUUGUAAUUUAGACUUGAAAUAUUAAACACUCUGGCUGCUUUGUAA